rnacentral:rRNA from 1 species
CCUACGGGUGGCAGCAGUGGGGGAUAUUGCACAAUGGGCGAAAGCCUGAUGCAGCGACGCCGCGUGAGUGUAGAAGUAUUUCGGUAUGUAAAGCCUUUUCAGCCGGGAAGAAAAUGACAGUACCUGACCAAGAAGCCCCGGCUAACUACGUGCCAGCAGCCGCGGUAAUACGUAGGGGGCCAGCGUUAUCCGGAUUUAUUGGGGGUAAAGCGGGCGUAGACGGUUAUGUAAGUCUGGUGUUAAAGCCCGGGGCCCAACCCCGGGACGGCAUUGGAUACUGGCUAUCUGGAGUGCGGGAGGGGUAAGCGGAAUGCCUGGUGUAGCGGUGAAAUGCGUAGAUAUCAGGAGGAACACCGGCGGCGAAGGCGGCCUACUGGACUGAAACUGACGCUGAGGAACGAAAGCGUGGGGAGCAAACAGGAUUAGAUACCCCUGUAGUC